UAUUCUGCCCUACGGGGAAGGAUGAGAAGCUUCGACUAAGGUUCGACUCGAGCGUCAGCGAGAGAACGUUGCCGCAGGCAACGGCCCGAAGGGCGAGG
rnacentral:sRNA from 1 species